rnacentral:lncRNA from 1 species
UUUAAUAAGGGUCUAUUUGGUUCAAAUGAUGAGGAAGGGAAAAGAGGAAUUUUAAUGGAGAAAAUCGGAGGGGAGGUGGGAGAUUAUUUUAAUCAGAAAAAAAUUUGGUUCAAAAGAGAGGAGGGGAAGGGAAAUGAUGAAUUUUAAUUAAAAACGUGUUUGGUUAAGAAGGGAUGGGGAUGAGUUUUAUUAAUAAUUUACAUUUUUAUCCUUAUGAUCUUAUAUAAGUAUC